rnacentral:rRNA from 1 species
UGGGGAAUAUUGCACAAUGGGCGCAAGCCUGAUGCAGCCAUGCCGCGUGUAUGAAGAAGGCCUUCGGGUUGUAAAGUACUUUCAGCGGGGAGGAAGGGAGUAAAGUUAAUACCUUUGCUCAUUGACGUUACCCGCAGAAGAAGCACCGGCUAACUCCGUGCCAGCAGCCGCGGUAAUACGGAGGGUGCAAGCGUUAAUCGGAAUUACUGGGCGUAAAGCGCACGCAGGCGGUUUGUUAAGUCAGAUGUGAAAUCCCCGGGCUCAACCUGGGAACUGCAUCUGAUACUGGCAAGCUUGGGUCUCGUAGAGGGGGGUAGAAUUCCAGGUGUAGCGGUGAAAUGCGUAGAGAUCUGGAGGAAUACCGGUGGCGAAGGCGGCCCCCUGGACGAAGACUGACGCUCAGGUGCGAAAGCGUGGGGAGCAAACAAG